GACGUAGGUGGCGAACGUUAUCCGGAAUUAUUGGGCGUAAAGGGCGCGUAGGCGGCCACCGCAAGUCGACUGUGAAAUCUCCGGGCUUAACCCGGAAAGGUCAGCCGAUACUGCGGGGCUAGAGUGCAGAAGGGGCAACUGGAAUUCUCGGUGUAGCGGUGAAAUGCGUAGAUAUCGAGAGGAACACCUGCGGCGAAGGCGGGUUGCUGGGCUGACACUGACGCUGAGGCGCGAAAGCUAGGGGAGCGAACGGG
rnacentral:rRNA from 1 species